rnacentral:rRNA from 1 species
GCUUAUGGCCACACCGCCUGGUUCACGUCCGAUCUCGUUUGAUCUCGGAAGCUAAAAUAGGUUGGGCCUGGUUAGUACUUGCAUGGGAGACUGCCUGGGGAAUACCAGGUGCUGUAAGCU